UACGAAGGGGGCUAGCGUUGCUCGGAAUCACUGGGCGUAAAGCGCACGUAGGCGGCUUUUUAAGUCAGAGGUGAAAUCCUGGAGCUCAACUCCAGAACUGCCUUUGAUACUGGAGAGCUUGAGUCCGGGAGAGGUGAGUGGAACUGCGAGUGUAGAGGUGAAAUUCGUAGAUAUUCGCAAGAACACCAGUGGCGAAGGCGGCUCACUGGCCCGGUACUGACGCUGAGGUGCGAAAGCUAGGGGAGCAAACGGG
rnacentral:rRNA from 1 species